rnacentral:rRNA from 1 species
UCAGGAAUAUUGGGCAAUGGGCGAAAGCCUGACCCAGCGAUGCCGCGUGUGUGAAGAAGGCCCUAGGGUUGUAAAGCACUUUCAGUCGUGAAGAAAAGCAUUGGGUUAAUACCCCGACGUGUUGACGUUAACGACAGAAGAAGUACCGGCUAACUCCGUGCCAGCAGCCGCGGUAAUACGGAGGGUACGAACGUUAAUCGGAAUUACUGGGCGUAAAGCGCGCGUAGGCGGUUUGAUAAGUGGGAUGUGAAAGCCCCGGGCUCAACCUGGGAACUGCAUUCCAAACUGUCAGACUAGAGUGUGGUAGAGGGAGGUAGAAUUUCCUGUGUAGCGGUGAAAUGCGUAGAUAUAGGAAGGAAUACCGAUGGCGAAGGCAGCCUCCUGGACCAACACUGACGCUGAGGUGCGAAAGCGUGGGGAGCAAACAGG